GGAGGGYGCGAGCGUUGUUCGGAAUUACUGGGCGUAAAGGGCGCGUAGGCGGCCGCCUAAGUCAGACGUGAAAUCCCUCGGCUCAACCGGGGAACUGCGUCUGAUACUGGGUGGCUUGAAUCCGGGAGAGGGAUGCGGAAUUCCAGGUGUAGCGGUGAAAUGCGUAGAUAUCUGGAGGAACACCGGUGGCGAAGGCGGCAUCCUGGACCGGUAUUGACGCUGAGGCGCGAAAGCCAGGGGAGCAAACGGGAUUAGAUACCCCGGUAGUCCUGGCCCUAAACGAUGAGUGCUUGGUGUGGCGGGUAUCGAUCCCUGCCGUGCCGAAGCUAACGCAUUAAGCACUCCGCCUGGGGAGUACGGUCGCAAGGCUG
rnacentral:rRNA from 1 species